rnacentral:rRNA from 1 species
AAUAUUGGACAACGGGGGCAACCCUGAUCCAGCCGUGCCGCGCGUGUGAAGAAGGUCUUCGGUUUGUAAAGCACUGUAAGUUGGGAGGACGGGCGUUAGGCUAACACCCUGAAGCGUUGACGGUACUAACAUAAUAAACACCGGCUAACUCUGUGCCAGCAGCCGCGGUAAUACAGAGGGUGCAAGCGUUAAUCGGAAUUACUGGGCGUAAAGCGCGCGUAGGUGGUUCAGUAAGAUGGGUGUGAAAUCCCCGGGCUUAACCUGGGAACUGCUUUCAUAACUGCUGAGCUAGAGUACGGUAGAGGGUAGUGGAAUUUCCUGUGUAGCGGUGAAAUGCGUAGAUAUAGGAAGGAACGCCAGUGGCGAAGGCGACUACCUGGACUGAUACUGACACUGAGGUGCGAAAGCGUGGGGAGCAAACA